CGAGAGGAGCCUGGGCGUCGGGAGGACUUGGAUUUGCGGGUGCUGCCUGAGGGAUCCUGGUCCCUGAAGUGGUGGGGCUUCCCCUCACGGCGCAGGGGAGGCAGAGGGCGAGGCGUGAGGGAGGGCUGCGCGGUGGCGGUAGGGUGGGGAGGGCACGACGCCCUGGUGCUUCGGUUGUGUGAGGACGGGAGGGCGUUACCCUGUUCCCUAAAAUACUUGGCACCACGGCACCUUUUAAUUUCUUUCGCUCUUGUGCCUGUCCCUUUGCCGUUCUGUGGUUUGCCUGUCCAAAGUGCCUGUCGGGCUUACCAGUCGAGUCCAAGGGCCUGGGUCUUUUCCUGAAGGGGCUAUGUGGCCAGUGUCCAGGGUGUAUAAAAAACAUUCAGGACUCGAGAUAACAUUUUAAGGGCAAGUCUUAUUUAAAUGGGACACAGCUUUCCUGUGGUCUGAUCCAAGAAUGUGGAAUGAAUUCCCCAGGAGCUAUAGACAAUUGUAAAUCUGUUGUUCAGUGCAAGGCAUGUUCUUUGGCGCUGAUCUUCUCUGACAUAAGUACGUAACUUCACUUGUACUUUAACAUAAGAGCUUCAAAGGACCCAUAGAGAUACUCAUGUUCCUUCCCAGGGAUCGACAAUAUAGCAGUAGAAAUAGUGCUUUUACUGUGAGGUUUGUGUUUGUCAUCCAAUCUUUACGGUAUUCAUGGAAUAACUUAUUCCUUUUUUUAACCAAAUAUAAACCCAAUUUUUUCUUUUUAUGAUUUUAAUAUAAAAAUCCCUUUAUAGUAGGGCUGAGAUAGGUCUAGUGUCUUAAAACAAUGCAAUAUACUAAGUUAGCUAAUUUUAAUAGAAAAAUCACCCCAGUUACCCCUUUUGUGAAAAAGAAUCACUCAAAGGCAGAGCUUCUGUGUUUGAUUUUAGAAAAUAAGAAAUACUUCCAUAUUUCUAAUUAAUCUUCCCAUUUCAGACGUCACAUUGCUUGCUAGUUUGUUACCAAGUGGAAUUUAUGGCACUGACUUUAUAAUACUCCUUGGAGUCACCUGGUGGUGUGUUUAUGCGUGGUGUUACCAGUUUAAUCUAGCUAAUGCGCAAUUCAGUCUUGAAACCCAGCUUGUUAAUUUUGAUAACGUUCUCUUUCAAGCUGCAUAUGACCUUAGUAGUCUGUUUUCUUCUUUAGUUUCACUGACUAAACAAAGCGUGGCUGCCUAGAGAUUAUACCCAGGCAAGCAAAACAAAAAACAUCAGAUGGUGCCAGAACAUUACUAGUACUACCAUUUAAAGCUGUAGUUGGACUGAAGCUUUAUUAUCUCAGAUCACUACUUUGACUGUAUUAUACCACAAGUGUUGAAACUAUGCAAAGAGCUUGUGCAAAAAACCUCUUGGCUUAACUGUUAAAGGGCUGUCUGUAGGCAGAGCAUUCUCAAUGAGAAAUUCUUGACAGAAGAGCUUUCUAUUUACCUUGGUUUGCCAGAGGCUGAAUGUGCUGAACUUCAGCAUACGCUGAAUAUCUUACUAGUUCUUUGUUCUCUUUGACUUUUUUGAGGGGAAGUGUGCCAAAGACUUGUCUCCACUAGAAAAAGCAUGUAUUUUAGCUAGCUCAAUUUAGCUAAACCUUAAAAGCCCUAGAGUAGGUGGAAAAGUUGUGUUAAAGGGGAAUUCAUCUCAAGGUUUCUUUUAGAAAUGUAGUGUGGAUAUUCUCUUUACGUAAUUUAGCAGAGAUCAGAGAAUCAUUGUUUUUCAAAAAAAAACCCACACAAAUUGAAAUAAAUACAUAAGAAAUUAUAGUCUGUUAUCAGCAUUCAGGAUACAAUAUCAUAUAGGUUUAUGUACUUUCUUGGCAUGCCAGGAUGAUGUGUCUUCUGUGUAUAUUAGAUUACUCCAGUAUAUAUUGAACAUGGUUCAUGAGGGCAUUGUUGAAGGAAUUAGGCUUAAUUAUCUUCUGAUAAAGAUUCUAGGUGCCCAUUCAAAUUGUUUUGAAAGAUCAGUACAAACAUUUUAGUUCAUAUAAACAAAUCAACAAACUGAAAUCAGCCACAACUGUGAUGUAACCUACCUUUAUAUACUUCGUAUGUUACAUCAUCAGCAUCGAUGAUUUUGAAUAAAUUACUUAAAAUAGAAGUUAGUAAGUUACUUCCUUAAUAGAAUAAUUUAGUUUACUUUAACAUGUUCCGUCUGUAUCCAAUUUGGAACAGUUACAAAGAGCUGUUAUUUUCUGUAAUUAUAGACAGUUUUAUUGUGAUGUUCUCCAUAUUUUACAAAACUUAAAUUAGACUAGUAUGUCACCCUCUUUAACAUUAAGUAAAGUACUUACUGUCAUCUGAGAGAAUUACGUACAUCAACAGAACUGGGCGGAAAGCAGCAGCUGUUACCUUGUGCUGCCUCUGUUUUAUAUGCUGCUCCAUCAGCUGAAAAUCUUGUCCAGCAUCAUUCUCUUGCCACACAGAGGCCUCAAUUAAAUUAUCAUGCUGUAGCGUCCCAGCCACACACAGAUUUCCCGACCAGCCACAAUGUUUAGCCCAUAAAGUAGCCUCUGGAGUAUUCAGACUGUCCCAACAGGAAUGUAGGGGGAAACCUCAGAUAUGUCCAAUCCUUACUGUGUUUUCCAGGACAUCCCAACUUGCACCCUACUUUUAAAAAUUUCUUCUGUGUUCUUUUCCUUUGUCCAAGCUUGUCCAAUAAAUUACAUCUGGGUUUUUUUGGCCAUUACAGUUUAAAUCUGUAUGGUUUCUAGCCAAGAGGAAGGAACUGCUGAUUUAGAGUAAAUACCAGUGAAGGACCAGGGUGGAGGGAAUGAGAAGCAGGAGUAUACUGAAAGUCUGAUUCUUUAAGAGGAAAAUGCUUUUCUAUUGUAAAUUUUCCUGAAGUUAUAGCUGAAUCAAUGUUGAAGAACCUCAGUGAUGAAGUUGUGUGGCUUGUGGGUUUCCUUAAGGGUGUCUAGGAGUGUGACUGGAAGCAGUGAAAGUAGCUUUAGCUUCUCCCAACAGCUGCAACUGCUUGAGCUUCUGUAGAACAUAAGGAAGCCAUUUGAGAAGAGAACAAAUGCAAUUUGUUUCCUUUUCUUUUCCUGCUUCAGGAAUGGGCUGGUAGUUUCAUUUUGUAUUUCUUGUCCUAUCAGGUCACUGUGUCAACUACUGACAACGUAAUCAUCAUAAUUAAGAAAUUAUCUUUUAGCCUGAUGGUGGAUAAUUCUUUUUCUGGUUGUUGGUAGCAAGUAAUAUCUUUUAUUUGUACCUUUGUGAAAAAAUUUCCUCCAUUUGAUUUUUUUUUUAAUGUGUAACAAAUGUCCUAACAAGCUACAAUCAAGUAGAAGAUGAAGCCUUCUGUGUCAUCUUCAGUCUCCUCCUACUGUCCUUUAGAGAAUUAUGUUUGGUUUACGGGGUUAUGGAGAGGAAGAUAGAUGGGAGAGAAUCACCUUUACCCUACAAGCAGUCAUUCUUAAAAGAAGAUAAUUAAAUCAACAGUUUCACUGAUUUUCACUGAAGCUGAAGUUGCUCGGAACUCCUGAAAUACGCCCAGAUGUCAUGGACUGAAACAAAGGGAAUCCUACUCAGCUCAGGCAGCAGCACACACAGGGUGGCUCUGUUACUCAGUUUGUAAGCCAAGAACUUGAUGAAAAUCCAGGCCUUGUUGAAUCUGUUUGCUUCCAAGUUUCAAAAGUUCAGUCUGUUCUAUUUGGACUUCCCAGUGCCCUGAUAAACUAUUUAAUUUGAACAGUAACUGGAACAUAACUUCUAAGCAAAUGCUACAAUAACAUUAGUAUUAAAACCAGUAAAUACUACUGGAGUUAACCGAAUUCUCUAGACAAUUGUCAAAAUGGAGAGUUACAUCAUUUGCUUUCCAUUGCCCAAGAGGAUUAAUUUUUUUAAAUAAACUUGUGAGGAAUAUACUAACAAGCAAGUCUGACUAUAAAAAUAGUCUGCAGUAUACAGUGAGACUUUGUUUUCCAUAGCAUAAGCUCAAGUUGGUAGUGUUUAGGAUGUCAUAGUUUCUUACAGUUGUGUAUUUACUUGAGGUAUACACAAUAAAUAGUUUGUUUUAAUUUACUGGUCAAGUUUGCAAUAUAGUUUGUAGAUUAGCAGCCUGAAGUCUCUGGAAAUAAGAUAUCAACAAACAAAAGCAUGAGUUUAGUCAGGUAUUUCCAGUACAGGCCGAAGAGGCCAAAAGUUGUUCAUAGUUGUGUGUUCCAUUGGUGUUGAUGUGCUUACAUGCACAUAAUGAAGAGCAAAACUUAUCCCAUUGACUUAAAGAUUAAAGCAUGUAAAUACCUGAAGUUAAGCUCUGCUGUUCAUAUUGCAUAAGAAAAGAGGAGGAUCUGAGCUUUUCAUUAGUAUUACACUCUCAGGUUUAUGCCGAGUAGUUCUAAUUAUGCUGUUUCUAGUAUGCCAACUAGAGAAAAGAUGCAGCUUUUCUGAAUACAGCAAA